rnacentral:rRNA from 1 species
UACGAAGGGGGCGAGCGUUGUUCGGAUUUACUGGGCGUAAAGGGCGCGCAGGCGGCUAUCCAAGUCAGGCGUGAAAGCCCCGGGCUUAACCUGGGAGGUGCGUCUGGGACUGGGUGGCUAGAGUUCGGGAGAGGAGAGUGGAAUUCCCAGUGUAGAGGUGAAAUUCGUAGAUAUUGGGAAGAACACCGGUGGCGAAGGCGGCUCUCUGGACCGAGACUGACGCUGAGGCGCGAAAGCGUGGGGAGCAAACGGG